AAAUCUUAGUUAUCUUUUAGAAAAAUCUUCUCCUCUGAAACUACUGGGCCAAAUUUAACCAAACUUAGCCAUAAUCAUCAUUGGGGUAUCUAGUUAAAAAAUGUGUCCGGUAACUCGGCCAACAAACCAAGAUGGCCGCCAUGGCUAAAAAUAGAACAUGGGGGUAAAAUGCAGUUUUUGGCUUAUAACUCAAAAACCAAAGCAUUAAGAGCAAAUCUGACAGGAAGUAAAAUUGUUGAUCAGGUCACGAUCUAUCUGCCCUGGAAUUUUCAGAUGAAUCGGAUAAUCGGUUGUUAGGUUGCUGCCCCUGAAUUGGUAAUUUUGAGGAAAAUUUUGCUGUUUUUUUGUUAUUAUCUUGAAUAUUAUUAUAGAUAGAGAUAAACUGUAAACAACAAUAAUGUACAGCAAAGUAAGAACUAAAAAUAAGUCAGUAUGACCAAAAUAGUCAAUUGACCCCCUAAGGAGUUAUUGCCCUUCAUAGUCAAUUUUUAACAAUUUUCUUAAAAUUUGAAGAUUUUCAAUAACAUUUCCACAGAAAGUACUGUUAUAGAUAGAGAUAAUUGUAAGCAGCA
rnacentral:lncRNA from 1 species